rnacentral:rRNA from 1 species
GACGAACGCUGGCGGCGUGCUUAACACAUGCAAGUCGAACGGUAAACCUCUUCGGAGGGGCUCAGUGGCGUACGGGUUAGUGACACGUUGGCAACCUGCUCCCGGCUCUGGGAUACCUCCAAGAAAUUGUGGCGAAUCCCGGAUGUUCACCGCUUCCCGCCUGGGUGGUGGUGCAAAGGGUUUCCGGCUGGGGCUGGGCCCGCGGCCUAUCAGCUUGUUUGUGGAGUAGUGGCCUUCGAAGGCCACGACGGGUAGCCGCCCUGAGAGGGUGAACAGCCACAAUGGGACUGAGAGACGGAGCAGACGCCAACGGGAGGCAGCAGGGGGAAAUAUUGCGCAAUGGGCGGGAGCCUGAGGCAGCGGCGCCGCGUGGGGGAUGACGGCCUUCGGGUUGUAAACCGCUUUCAGCAGAGACGAAGCGGAAGUGACGGUACCUGAAGAAGAAGCACCGGCCAACUACGUG